AUUAUACUCCCUCCGUUCGGAAUUACUUGUCACAAAAAUGGAUGUAUCUACAACUAAAAUACAUCUAGAUACAUUCAUUUCUUGGACGAGUAAUUCCGAACGGAGGGAGUAAAUG
rnacentral:pre_miRNA from 1 species